GGAUGUUCUUCUCCACCCAGACAGAGAUCACUACGAGUAUAGUGGAUAUAAAUCUACUGAUCUAUUUUAAACAAGUGUCCAUGUAUAUUUUUCUUUUUUAAUUCUACAGGAGACAGUAUGUUAGACACUGGUUCUUAUUGGGUCGAUGUACUUCAGUACCCCAGACAGAGAUAACGACAGGUCUAGUGGAGGUAACUGUGCUGCUUUCAGUUACUCUAGAGGAGGCUGGUGGUUCAACUGGUGUCACCGGGCCUUCCUGAACGGUCCCUGGUCCCCGGAGUCCUGGACCUUACCAUGGUAUCCUACAGUAUGGAGUGGGACAUCAGUGAAGGGGACCACCAUGAUGAUCAGACGUCACUAGACGAAAGAUCAUGCAUGGAUUAUGGAAACCCUCAAGAGACGAUUUUAAAUUAAUUUUUAUCGCUGAGUUCUUUUUUUUAAUAUUUAACAUCAAGUAACAAACAGUAAAAGAAGGUGGUUGAACGGCUCUGUAAAGCGAUACUGGAUGUAUUCAGUAAAAGAUGUAUUUUAUAUGUGUUGUAAUAAAUUUGAAAA